rnacentral:tRNA from 1 species
GUUUUAAUAAUUUAAAUAAAAAAUAUUAGUCUUGUAAACUAAAAUUAGGAUCUUCUUUAAAACU